GACAGAGGAUGCAAGCGUUAUCCGGAAUGAUUGGGCGUAAAGCGUCUGUAGGUGGCUUUUUAAGUCUGCCGUCAAAUCCCAGGGCUUAACCCUGGACAGGCGGUGGAAACUACCAAGCUGGAGUACGGUAGGGGCAGGGGGAAUUUCCGGUGGAGCGGUGAGAUGCGUAGAGAUCGGAAAGAACACCAACGGCGAAAGCACUCUGCUGGGCCGACACUGACACUGAGAGACGAAGGCCAGGGGAGCAAACGGG
rnacentral:rRNA from 1 species